rnacentral:rRNA from 1 species
GUGCCAGCAGCCGCGGUAAUACGUAGGUGGCAAGCGUUAUCCGGAAUUAUUGGGCGUAAAGCGCGCGUAGGCGGUUCUUUAAGUCUGAUGUGAAAGCCCACGGCUCAACCGUGGAGGGUCAUUGGAAACUGGAAAACUUGAGUGCAGAAGAGGAAAGUGGAAUUCCAUGUGUAGCGGUGAAAUGCGCAGAGAUAUGGAGGAACACCAGUGGCGAAGGCGACUUUCUGGUCUGUAACUGACGCUGAUGUGCGAAAG